GGAAGACGGCCACUGCUCCAUUGAAGAGUAAAAAGAGAAGUCCUCAACAUCACCAACUUAAUAAUAAUAAUUUCUAGCAUACACAUCAACAUAUGAGACCAUUUAAUGAAAAAAUCAGUGAACAGCUUGUUCAUUGUCUAAACCAUAUCAUGCUUAUCAUGCUUGAACUUUCUUAUUAAAGUGUUCAGAAUUUUCUGCUACACAAAAGGCAGACUAAUAGCAAGUGAAAAACCAAAUUAUCUCCUCUGUAAAGGAAAACAACAUAAUAGAUGUCUGGUUUAGGAAGACAUCUUUGCACAAUUACUUUAUGGAUAUACCCUUUAUGAGUUCAGAUUGUGCAAAAGGGAAAUUUGAGAGAGAUAUCCUGGUUAUGGUAAGAUUAGCAACAGUUGAGAUUGCCUGUAUGGCUCUGGUCCCCAUGGUUAAUAGUCAUAUCUCAUGGAAGGAAGGCAUAUGAUGCAGGACCUUCUACUAGGGAUUUUAGGAAUAAAUUUGGGAAAUUUAAUUGAGUAGUAGCAUUUUAUUUCUUAGGAAGUUUGAGUUGUUUUAGUUUCCCAAUUAGUAUUGGUUUAGUAUUUUUUGGAAUUCCGAAUCCAAGUGGCAGUAGGAUUAGUUAUUAGUCUA
rnacentral:misc_RNA from 1 species